ACUCCUACGGGAGGCAGCAGUAGGGAAUAUUGCACAAUGGGCGCAAGCCUGAUGCAGCAACGCCGCGUGAGGGACGACGGCCUUCGGGUUGUAAACCUCUUUUAGUAGGGAAGAAGCGAGGUGUUUAUUCACCUCAUGACGGUACCUGCAGAAAAAGCACCGGCUAACUACGUGCCAGCAGCCGCGGUAAUACGUAGGGUGCAAGCGUUGUCCGGAAUUAUUGGGCGUAAAGAGCUCGUAGGCGGUUUGUCGCGUCUGCUGUGAAACCCCGAGGCUCAACCUCGGGCCUGCAGUGGGUACGGGCAGACUAGAGUGCGGUAGGGGAGAUUGGAAUUCCUGGUGUAGCGGUGGAAUGCGCAGAUAUCAGGAGGAACACCGAUGGCGAAGGCAGAUCUCUGGGCCGUAACUGACGCUGAGGAGCGAAAGCAUGGGGAGCAAACAGGAUUAGAUACCCUGGUAGUC
rnacentral:rRNA from 1 species